rnacentral:tRNA from 2 species
CAAGAAGUAGUUUAAUUAAAAUAUUAAUUUUGGAGAUUAAUGAUAAAGAUUUAUCUUUUUUCUUGA